CCCAAUUAGUAGGUUUCGAGCAACAAAAUCACUGAACCCGGUCCAAUUUGUGUUUUAGUUGCUUCAAGAACCAGGGUUUGGCUCAGAAGCUGUGGAACCUGGUUUUGCUGCGUAGCGUGGUCGACAAUCCGCAGCGAAAAUGGUGAGGGAGAAUCUCAUUCGUUUACUGUUUAAGCUAAUUGGAACCAUUCUUCAUUCUGACAUGUGCCGGAAUUUUUUGUAGCCUUCUCACAAAACUUUCAGGAUCAAGAAGAAGCUCGCGAAGAAGAUGAGGCAGAACAGACCCAUCCCUUACUGGAUCCGCAUGAGGACCGAUAACACCAUCAGGUACAAUGCUAAGCGCAGGCACUGGCGCCGCACUAAACUUGGAUUUUAAGCACGAUGUAAACCUUCGACUCGAGAUUCAUAUUUUUGUUUUCUAGAAUGUUACAAGGGAUGUCGGAAUGAUGUAGCUUUGGUCAUCUGGUCACAGAGAGGUCAUUGUACAGUGUUUCCACAACCCUAGUUUUGUAUUCUUUUUUAUAUUUCUUGCUGUUAAUGUGAAACUUUAGUUUUUUGCUUUCGAUAUUUUUGUCUCUUUUUCUUUCAUAUUUCGAAUCUUAAUUUUGUGGAAUUCUUGAAUGGUGCUUGAUGGAAUUUAUACUUCGAAGGUUUAACCAUGAAUAAAUUUUCAAUGUAACUGACCUUAAUAACUGCAAUACAUA
rnacentral:sRNA from 1 species